rnacentral:rRNA from 1 species
UGAAUACGAGAUGCUACGGCGUCGAAGCAGUGUAUGUCAGACUUCCAAGAAAAGCUCGCAAUGUCAUAAAUAAAGAAUGCCUGUACCAUAACCUACACAGGUGGGUAGGUAGAGUAUACUAAGGGGCGCGAGAUAACUCUCUCUAAGGAACUCGGCAAAAUAACUCCGUAACUUCGGGAGAAGGAGUGCCUUCUUUAAGAAGGUUGCAAUAACAAGAUCCAAGCAACUGUUUAUCAAAAACACAGGUCUCCGCUAAGUCGUAAGACGAUGUAUGGGGGCUGACGCCUGCCCAGUGCCAGAAGGUUAAAGAAGCUGGUUAGCAAUAGCGAAGCUGGUGACUGAAGCCCUGGUGAACGGCGGCCGUAACAAUAACGGUCCUAAGGUAGCGAAAUUCCUUGUCGGGUAAGUUCCGACCCGCACGAAAGGCGUAAUGAUUUGGAUACUGUCUCGGAGAGGGACUCGGUGAAAUAGACUUGUCUGUGAAGAUGCGGACUACCUGCACCAGGACAGAAAGACCCUAUGAAGCUUUACUGUAACCUGAAAUUGAAAUUGGACUUUAUUUGCGCAGUAUAGGUGGGAGGCGUUGAAAGUAAUCUUGCGGGAUUAGUGGAGCCAUCAGUGAGAUACCACUCCUAUAAUGUUAGAUUUCUAACUUUGGAUCAUGAUCUGGUCAAAGAACAGUUUCAGGCGGGCAGUUUGACUGGGGCGGUCGCCUCCCAAAUGGUAACGGAGGCGUACAAAGGUUUCCUCUGAACGGGUAGAAAUCGUAUCUAGAGUAUAAAGGCAUAAGGAAGCUUGACUGUGAGACCUACAAGUCGAGCAGGGACGAAAGUCGGUCUUAGUGAUCUGACGGUGCUGAGUGGAAAGGCCGUUACUCAACGGAUAAGGUUACUCUAGGAUAACAGGCUGAUCUCCCCCAAGAGUUCACAUCGACGGGGAGGUUUGGCACCUCGAUGUCGGCUCAUCGCAUCCUGGGGCGGUAGUACGUCCCAAGGGUUGGGCUGUUCGCCCAUGAAAGCGGUACGCGAGCUGGGUUCAGAACGUCGUGAGACAGUUCGGUCCAUAUCCGGUGUAGGCGUUAGGAUAUUGAGAGGAGCCUUCUCUAGUACGAGAGGACCGAGAAGGACAUACCUCUGGUGUACCAGUUAUCGUGCCAACGGUAAACGCUGGGUAGCUAUGUAUGGAGAGGAUAACCGCUGAAAGCAUCUAAGUGGGAAGCCCACCUCAAGAUGAGUAUUCUCAC